rnacentral:rRNA from 1 species
GAUGAACGCCGGCUACAGGCUUAACACAUGCAAGUCGAGGGGAAACGGCAUUGGGUGCUUGCACCGAAUGGACGUCGACCGGCGCACGGGUGAGUAACGCGUAUCCAACCUUCCCGUUACUGCGGGAUAACCUGCCGAAAGGCAGACUAAUACCGCAUGUUCUUCGAUGACGGCAUCAGAUUCGAAGCAAAGAUCCGUCGGUAACGGAGGGGGAUGCGUCUGAUUAGCUAGUUGGCGGGGCGACGGCCCACCAAGGCGACGAUCAGUAGGGGUUCUGAGAGGAAGGUCCCCCACAUUGGAACUGAGACACGGUCCAAACUCCUACGGGAGGCAGCAGUGAGGAAUAUUGGUCAAUGGGCGGAAGCCUGAACCAGCCAAGUAGCGUGCAGGAUGACGGCCCUACGGGUUGUAAACUGCUUUUAUGCGGGGAUAAAGUGAGGGACGCGUCCCUUUUUGCAGGUACCGCAUGAAUAAGGACCGGCUAAUUCCGUGCCAGCAGCCGCGGUAAUACGGAAGGUCCGGGCGUUAUCCGGAUUUAUUGGGUUUAAAGGGAGCGUAGGCCGGGGAUUAAGUGUGUUGUGAAAUGUAGGCGCCCAACGUCUGACUUGCAGCGCAUACUGGUUCCCUUGAGUACGCGCAACGCCGGCGGAAUUCGUCGUGUAGCGGUGAAAUGCUUAGAUAUGACGAAGAACCCCGAUUGCGAAGGCAGCCGGCGGGAGCGCAACUGACGCUGAAGCUCGAAGGUGCGGGUAUCGAACAGG